GAGGUGGCUCAGUGGUCAAGAGCAGUGACUACUCUUCCAGAGGUCCUGAGUUCAAUUCUCAGAAACCACG
rnacentral:tRNA from 1 species